rnacentral:rRNA from 1 species
AUUGAACGCUGGCGGCGUGCCUAACACAUGCAAGUCGAGCGGUAACAGGUGUAGCAAUACAUGCUGACGAGCGGCGGACGGGUGAGUAACGCUUGGGAAUCUGCCUAUUAGUGGGGGACAACCCGGGAAACGUCGGGCUAAUACCGCAUACGCUCUACGGAGGAAAGCCGGGGACCGCAAGGCCUGGCGCUAAUAGAUGAGCCCAAGUCGGAUUAGCUAGUUGGUAGGGGUAANGGCCUACCAAGGCGACGAUCCGUAACUGGUCUGAGAGGACGACCAGUCACACCGGAACUGAGACACGGUCCGGACUCCUACGGGAGGCAGCAGUGGGGAAUAUUGGACAAUGGGCGAAAGCCUGAUCCAGCGACGCCGCGUGGGUGAAGAAGGCCUGCGGG